UAGCGCGGGGAGCGGCUGAGCGGCGAGGAGGGCGGCGAUUGGGGGCUGCUUUGUCCGCUGCUCGGGAGCCGAUUGUAGGCUUGCAUCGCGCGGUUUUCUUCACAUGAUGAUUGUGGUAGAGGGAGGAGGUGGUGGGGCACGUGACGUGAGAGAGGGACGCACGUGCUGGCAACAACGGACAGACAGGACAACAGACACAGUAGAGGGAGAGGGAAUGAAAUAGGAUGAUGACACACACAGAUGGGUUUCCAUUUUGACCUCAUUUUCAGGGAGUCAACCCUCGAUUUUCCCGAUUCUUGAGUUUUUUCUUUCCUAAUUCAAAAUCUAUUUUCUCACAUAUGAUGACACUUCAUAAAAUUGACUUCUAUUUCCUCAUUUGUUAAAACUUACUACUAGUAACACUGAUGUACCUUUCAAGUGGAAAAUGAUAGUUAUUGCGAUAAUAAAAAAAUAUUAUGUACUAUAUUAUUAA